CCCUACGGGGGGCAGCAGUGGGGAAUAUUGGGCAAUGGGCGCAAGCCUGACCCAGCAACGCCGCGUGAAGGAAGAAGGCUUUCGGGUUGUAAACUUCUUUUCUGAGGGACGAAGAAAGUGACGGUACCUCAGGAAUAAGCCACGGCUAACUACGUGCCAGCAGCCGCGGUAAUACGUAGGUGGCAAGCGUUAUCCGGGUUUAUUGGGUGUAAAGGGUGCGUAGGCGGCCUGCUAAGUCUGGAGUGAAAGGUACCGGCUCAACCGGUACAGGCUCUGGAAACUGGCGGGCUAGAGAGCAGGAGAGG
rnacentral:rRNA from 1 species